rnacentral:rRNA from 1 species
AGUUCGAUCCUGGCUCAGAUUGAACGCUGGCGGGAGAAGACACAUGCAAGUCGAACGGCAGCACGGACUUCGGUCUGGUGGCGAGUGGCGAACGGGUGAGUAAAUGAAAUGGAACGUGCCUGCAAGCGGGGGAUAACUACGCGUAGCGGUAGCUAAUACCGCAUACCGCCUCUUCGGGGAAAGCGGGGACCUUUCGGGCCUCGCACUAUUAGAGCGGCCGAUAUCGGAUUAGCUAGGUUGGUGGGGUAACGGUCACCAAGGCGACGAUCCGUAGCUGGUUUGAGAGACGACCAGCCACAUGCCACUGACUGGAGACACGGGCCCAGACUCCUACGGGAGGCAGCAGUGGGAAUUUUGACAAUGGGGAAAACUCUGAUCCAGCCAUCCUGUGCGAUGAAGGCCUGGGUUGUAAAGCACUUUUGGCAGGAAGAAACGGCACGGAUAAUACCCUCGUGCAACUGACGGUACCUGCAGAAUAAGCACCGGCUAACUACGCGCCAGCAGCCGCGGUAAUACGUAGGGUGCAAGCGUUAAUCGGAAUUACUGGGCGUAAAAGCGUGCGCAGGCGGUUCGGAAAGAAAGAUGUGAAAUCCCGCAGAGCUAACUUUGGAACUGCAUUUUUAACUACCGACAGAGUGUGUCAGAGGAGGUGGAAUCUGGGCGUGUAGCAGUGAAAUGCGUAGAUAUGGGGUGAGGAACACUGAUGGCGAAGGCAGCCUCCUGGGAUAACACUGACGCUCAUGCACGGAAAGCGUGGGGAGCAACAGAUUAGAUACCCUGGCAGUCCACGCCCUAAACGAUGUCAAUCUAGCUGCUGGGGCCUUCGGGCCUUUGCAGCGCAGCUAACGCGUGAAGUUGACCGCCUGGGGAGUACGGUCGCAAGAUUAAACUCAAAGAAUUGACGGGGACCGCACAAGCGGUGGAUGAUGCGGGAUUAAUUCGAUGCACGCGAAAACCUUACUCUACCUCGACAUGUCUGGAAUCCCGAAGAGAUUUGGGAGGCUCGCAAGAGAAACCGAACACAGGUGCUACGGUUGUCGUCAGCUCGUGGUCGUGGAGAUGUUGGGUUAAGUCCCGCAACGAGCGCAAACUUUGGUUAUUGCUGCUACGAAAGGGCACUCUUAAUGACUGCCGGUGAUAAACCGAGGAAGGUGGGGAUGACGUCAAGUCCUCAUGGCCCUUAUGGGUAGGGCUUCACACGUCAUACAACACGGGACAGAGGGUCGCCAACCUGCGAGGGGGAGCCAUCCCAGAAACCUGAUCGUAGUCCUGAUCGCAGUUCGCAACUCGACUGCGGAAGUCGGAAUCGCCAGUAAUCGCGGAUCAGCAUGUCGCGGUGAAUACGUUCCUGCUGGGUCUUGUACACACCGCCCGUCACACCAUGGGAGUGGGUUUCUACCAGAAGUAGUUAGCCUAACCGUAAGGAGGGCGAUUACCACGGUAGGAUUCAUGACUGGGGGUGUAGUCGUAACAAGGUAA